CCUACGGGAGGCAGCAGUGGGGAAUAUUGGACAAUGGGCGAAAGCCUGAUCCAGCAAUUCCGCGUGUGUGAAGAAGGCCUUCGGGUUGUAAAGCACUUUAGUGGGGAAGAAACAGCUUGGCCACACCAAGCCUUGACGGUACCCCAAGAAUAAGCACCGGCUAACUCUGUGCCAGCAGCCGCGGUAAUACAGAGGGUGCAAGCGUUAAUCGGAUUUACUGGGCGUAAAGGGUGCGUAGGUGGCUAUUUAAGUCGGAUGUGAAAGCCCGGGGCUCAACCUCGGAAUUGCAUUCGAUACUGAGUGGCUAGAGUUCGGUAGAGGGCGGCGGAAUUUCCGGUGUAGCGGUGAAAUGCGUAGAUAUCGGAAGGAACAUCAAUGGCAAGGCAGCCGCCUGGGCCUGGACUGACACUGAGGCACGAAAGCGUGGGUAGCAAACAGGAUUAGAUACCCUGGUAGUCCACGCCGUAAACGAUGAGAACUUGACGUUGUCGUUUUACGAUCGGUGUCGCNNCUACGACGAUAGUUCUCCGCCGUGGUAGGUACGGCCGCGAGUAGAACGUACAAUAGAGUAGACGCGUGAGACGUGCCGACGACGACGACGAGGGAGGUAGG
rnacentral:rRNA from 1 species